GACGAACGCUGGCGGCGUGCUUAAUACAUGCAAGUCGAACGGAAGUAGCAAUACUUUAGUGGCGCACGGGUGAGGAACACGUAGAUGAUCUGCCCUUGAGAUCGAGAUAACCCCGGGAAACUGGGGCUAAUACCGGAUAAUGCAUUAUUAUUGGAUUAAUAAUGUUAAAGCGGCGCAAGUCGCACUUGAGGAUGAGUCUGCGACCUAUCAGCUAGUUGGCGGUGUAAUGGACCACCAAGGCAAAGACGGGUAGCUGAUCUGAGAGGAUGAUCAGCCACACUGGGACUGAGACACGGCCCAGACUCCUACGGGAGGCAGCAGUAGGGAAUAUUGCGCAAUGGGGGAAACCCUGACGCAGCGACGCCGCGUGAGUGAUGAAGGCCUUUUCUGGUGUAAAGCUCUGUAAGGAGGGAAGAAUGUCAGGCAGUAACGUGUCUGAGUGACGGUACCUCGGAGUAAGGACCGGCUAAAUACGUGCC
rnacentral:rRNA from 1 species